rnacentral:rRNA from 1 species
UUCGACUGUUUACCAAAAACAUAGCCCCUAAAUAAAUUAGAGGUGUAACCUGCCCAAUGAUUAUAAAAUGAAAAAUUUUAAUACAAUUUAAAUAUAAUUUAAAGGACGCGGUAUCUUGACCGUGGUAAUGUAGCAUAAUCACUCGCCAUUUAAUUGAUGGAUAGUAUGAAUGGUUGAACGAAUAUAACACUGUCUCAAGUAGAAAAUAUAUAAAACUGGAAUAAUAGUAAAGAUACUAUUUAAAAUCGUAAGACGAAAAGACCCUAUAGAGCUUAACUAUUAUCUUUUAUAAAAUCACGUAAAUUUAUUUAUAAUAUUAGAAGAUAGGUAGUUUAGUUGGGGCGACUACUUUCUAUAAACAAACGAAAGUAAGCAAAAUUAAUAAAAUAAUUAACUGUAUAAACCUUAACUUUAACAGUUACUAAAGUAGGCUAUAAUGACCCGUUUUACUUAAAGAAUAAAGAAAACGAUCAAUAAAUAAAAGCUACCUUAGGGAUAACAGGAUAAUUUUAUUUUAGAGAUCUAAUCGAAGAUAAAGUUUGUCACCUCUAUGUUGAAUUAAGGUAUCCUAAUAGUGCAGCAGCUAUUGAUGGUAGGUCUGUUCGACCUUUAAAACCUUACAUGAUUUGAGUUCAUUCCGUA